rnacentral:rRNA from 1 species
UUGAACGCUGGCGGCAGGCCUAACACCUGCAGGUCGAGCGGAUGAAGGGAGCUUGCUCCUGGAUUCAGCGGCGGACGGGUGAGUAAUGCCUAGGAAUCUGCCUGGUAGUGGGGGAUAACGUCCGGAAACGGGCGCUAAUACCGCAUACGUCCUGAGGGAGAAAGUGGGGGAUCUUCGGACCUCACGCUAUCAGAUGAGCCUAGGUCGGAUUAGCUAGUUGGUGGGGUAAAGGCCUACCAAGGCGACGAUCCGUAACUGGUCUGAGAGGAUGAUCAGUCACACUGGAACUGAGACACGGUCCAGACUCCUACGGGAGGCAGCAGUGGGGAAUAUUGGACAAUGGGCGAAAGCCUGAUCCAGCCAUGCCGCGUGUGUGAAGAAGGUCUUCGGAUUGUAAAGCACUUUAAGUUGGGAGGAAGGGCAGUAAGUUAAUACCUUGCUGUUUUGACGUUACCAACAGAAUAAGCACCGGCUAACUUCGUG